AUUGAACGCUGGCGGCAGGCUUAACACAUGCAAGUCGAACGGAGAGAGGUAGCUUGCUACUGAUCUUAGCGGCGGACGGGUGAGUAAUGCUUAGGAAUCUGCCUAUUAGUGGGGGACAACAUUUCGAAAGGAAUGCUAAUACCACAUACGUCCUACGGGAGAAAGCAGGGGAUCUUCGGACCUUGCGCUAAUAGAUGAGCCUAAGUCGGAUUAGCUAGUUGGUGGGGUAAAGGCCUACCAAGGCGACGAUCUGUAGCGGGUCUGAGAGGAUGAUCCGCCACACUGGGACUGAGACACGGCCCAGACUCCUACGGGAGGCAGCAGUGGGGAAUAUUGGACAAUGGGCGCAAGCCUGAUCCAGCCAUGCCGCGUGUGUGAAGAAGGCCUUAUGGUUGUAAAGCACUUUAAGCGAGGAGGAGGCUACUUUAGUUAAUACCUAGAGAUAGUGGACGUUACUCGCAGAAUAAGCACCGGCUAACUCUGUGCCAGCAGCCGCCGUAACAC
rnacentral:rRNA from 1 species